AUAAUGGGUCAGCGACUUAUAUUCUGUAGCAAGGUUAACCGAAUAGGGGAGCCGAAGGGAAACCGAGUCUUAACUGGGCGUUAAGUUGCAGGGUAUAGACCCGAAACCCGGUGAUCUAGCCAUGGGCAGGUUGAAGGUUGGGUAACACUAACUGGAGGACCGAACCGACUAAUGUUGAAAAAUUAGCGGAUGACUUGUGGCUGGGGGUGAAAGGCCAAUCAAACCGGGAGAUAGCUGGUUCUCCCCGAAAGCUAUUUAGGUAGCGCCUCGUGAAUUCAUCUCCGGGGGUAGAGCACUGUUUCGGCAAGGGGGUCAUCCCGACUUACCAACCCGAUGCAAACUGCGAAUACCGGAGAAUGUUAUCACGGGAGACACACGGCGGGUGCUAACGUCCGUCGUGAAGAGGGAAACAACCCAGACCGCCAGCUAAGGUCCCAAAGUCAUGGUU
rnacentral:rRNA from 1 species